rnacentral:lncRNA from 1 species
UACAAUUCUGAUUUUCAUUGAUUUCUGGUACAGCUACAAGUGCUAUAUCUCCUUGACAAUACUGAAAUCACCAUGUCAUAGAUGUGAAGGUGGAAAAGAGGUGGAGAGGUUAGGAAACUGAGAUCCAAAGAAAUGACAUGAAUUGUCCAGUAUGAACAUUGGACUCUGCUCCUGCAUCCUCAAUCCUGGGGCCCUGGCAGAAAAAAUGAACCUGGACUUGAUUGGAAGAAAGGAAAACAAG